rnacentral:lncRNA from 1 species
AUUUCAGGAUUUUUGAAUGUUUGUGACAGAGAGCAUGUGUUGUAGUUUUUUGAAAGAGACCAAAAUCUAUGAAAUUACUUCCCUGUAAUAUAUUUGAAUGCGGUGUUGCUAGUUGUGAAACAAAGUAAUGUGAAAUGGUUUGUGGCACAAUGUGAAAUUUAUAUUUCAAUCUGGUGAAACUGGAUUACUUCAGUAUGUCGAAGUGAGAUUGAAUGAUUUUCAGUGAGAUUUGUAAUGAUUUUGAGUGAGAUUGGAAUGAUUUUCAGUGAGAUUUGAAUUGAAAUAGCUAUGUGUAGUUGAGAUGUGCAAAAAAAUGUGAAACUGGGAUUUCAAU